rnacentral:rRNA from 1 species
UAGGGAAUCUUCCACAAUGGACGCAAGUCUGAUGGGGCAACGCCGCGUGAGUGAAGAAGGUUUUCGGACCGUAAAGCUCUGUUGUUGGUGAAGAAGGAUAGAGGUAGUAACUGGCCUUUAUUUGACGGUAAUCAACCAGAAAGUCACGGCUAACUACGUGCCAGCAGCCGCGGUAAUACGUAGGUGGCAAGCGUUGUCCGGAUUUAUUGGGCGUAAAGCGAGCGCAGGCGGAAGAAUAAGUCUGAUGUGAAAGCCCUCGGCUUAACCGAGGAAUUGCAUCGGAAACUGUUUUCUUGAGUGCAGAAGAGGAGAGUAGAACUCCAUGUGUAGCGGUGGAAUGCGUAGAUAUAUGGAAGAAUACCAGUGGCGAAGGCGGCUCUCUGGUCUGCAACUGACGCUGAGGCUCGAAAGCAUGGGUAGCGAACAGGAUUAGAUACCCUGGUAGUCCAUGCCGUAAACGAUGAGUGCUAAGUGUUGGGAGGCUUCCGCCUCUCAGUGCUGCAGCUAACGCAUUAAGCACUCCGCCUGGGGGAGUACGACCGCAAGGU